rnacentral:lncRNA from 1 species
CCAGGAUGUCUGAGAGCAGAUUUGAACCCAGGACCUCCCAUCUCUAGGCCUGGCUCUCAGGCCCCCAAGUCAUCUACCUUCCCCCUAAAGUCUCUACUAGAAAGGGUCUCUGACACCAUGAUGAAUACCAAAAGGACCAAGGACUUGUCUGCCAGGCUUGACACAAAGAUUCAAAUCAAGAUAUCUUCUCAAUGUGUCUCAUCCUCUGUCAUGUGCUAUUGAAUGGAGGUUUACAUUCUACUAAGAGGAAACAACAUAUAUACAAGGGCAGCAAGGUGGCUCAGGCCUAAAGAUGAGAGGUUCUCUGUUCAAAUGUGGUCUCAGACUUUUCCUACCUGUGUGACCCUGGGCAAGUCACUUGACCCCCAUGACCUAGCCCUUACCACUCUUCUGCCUUGGAACCAGUAUACAGUAUUAAUUCUAAGACAGAAGGUAAGAGUUAAUUUUUUAUUACAAAUUUAACAAAAUCAAAUAAAACAAGCAUUUCCAUAUAUAAAGAAAAAGAA